rnacentral:rRNA from 1 species
AGCAGCCGCGGUAAUUCCAGCUCCAAUAGCGUAUAUUAAAGUUGUUGCAGUUAAAAAGUUCGUAGUUGAAUUUCGGGGUUAGUAGGUUGGUCAUGCCUCUGGUAUGUACUGGUCUCACUGAUUCCUCCUUCCUGAUGAACCUUAAUGCCAUUAAUUUGGUGUUUUGGGGAAUUUGGACUAUUACUUUGAAAAAAUUUAGAGUGUUUAAAGCAGGCUCACGCUUGAAUACAUUAGCAUGGAAUAAUGAAAUAGGACGUUUGAUUCUAUUUUGUUGGUUUCUAGGAUCGACGUAAUGAUUAAUAGGGAUAGUUGGGGGCAUUAGUAUUCAAUUGUCAGAGGUGAAAUUCUUGGAUUUAUUGAAGACUAACUACUGCGAAAGCAUUUGCCAAGGAUGUUUUCAUUAAUCAAGAACGAAAGUUAGGGGAUCGAAGACGAUCAGAUACUGUCGUAGUCUUAACCAUAGACUAUGCCGACUAGGGAUCGGAUGAGUUAAUUUUUUUAAUGACUCAUUCGGCGCCUU